rnacentral:rRNA from 1 species
UCUGACACAGGUGCUGCAGUGGCUGUCGUCAGCUCGUGUCGUGAGAUGUUGGGUUAAGUCCCGUAACGAGCGCAACCCUUGUCCUUAGUUACCAGCACGUUAUGGUGGGCACUCUAAGGACCGACUGCCGGUGACAAACCGGAGGAAGGUGGGGAUGACGUCAAGUCAUCAUGGCCCUUACGGCCUGGGCUACACACGUGCUACAAUGGUCGGUACAAAGGGUCGCCAAGCCGCGAGGUGGAGCUAAUCCCAUAAAACCGAUCGUAGUCCGGAUCGCAGUCUGCAACUCGACUGCGUGAAGUCGGAAUCGCUAGUAAUCGUGAAUCAGAAUGUCACGGUGAAUACGUUCCCGGGCCUU